UCAUUAAAGCAUCGAUCCGAUUAUAAUUGAUAAUUUGAUCAUUGAAGUAACUAGGAUUUUCAUCCUAGGGCACCCUAGGGGGGCGUCUGGUAACCUAGCUACGCCGGAUGUAGGGAACAGGUGGAACAGGUGGAACAGGAUGCAAGGAACGGGACAACGGAACGACGCCAUUGUUUUUGAUUCAAUCGUUAAAAAGUGAAUCGUUUUAAUUAUUGUUUGAAUUAAAAAAUGUUUGAAGACGUCGAAGGAAAAAAUCUUGAAACAUUGGUGCUUCUGGAGCGUCUCAAGAUCGACUGAAAUAUGCAGCAGCAUAACCUGUACCAGUUAAAAAGGAUAUCAUAUUCUACGGAGGUAAAAAUGUUAUGAAAAAUAGAGGGAGCUCGAACACGAAUGCCGUGAACUCGAAUUUAUGCAAUAUUCAAAAUCUGUUUUACAAGUCGCUUAAAAUACAGUGCGAGUACCGAACUCGUCCCGUAUCAUACAUACAUGCAUACGUAUACGUUUCUACAUACAGUUUUUAUUUUGUCAGGUAAAAAGGUAAAGAGGACGCCCGAGCGCAAGGGAAAGGUCGCCGCAGUGAAAAGUUGGAAAAUUUAGGUUGCCCUAAUCGUGGACUAACUUAUUAGAACACAACUCGUAAAUACAAUGAGAAGAGGAUUAUUAAUAUUUAAAAGGUAUCCAUCAUCCAUGGAUGGAUAGAACAAUUCGCUAUUAUGCUAAUGUACAUACGUCAUGUAAAAAGGUGAAUGCAAAGGUUUGGGGAGCAUGAAAGAUGAGGACAGGCGGUGCAAGCCGAGUACCCUCUUGCCCCUGUGUGUCAUCCCGGGGGCUAACUUUCCAGUUCUGCAGUGUACACGUAUCUGGCUGGUUGAAUGCGAACGGGAGAAUUCAGAAACGCGAAAUAAUCCCUUGUUUUAUGAAUCCAGCAGAGCGCGGGUACGUAGAUACGCGCGUACAGGUAUACGUGGACGUCGAAGUUAACGAAGAGCUUGUAGGGGAACAAAAGCCCGUUGUUAUCCGGGAAAGGGUAAUUGUUCGAUCCGGCUAGGUAACAUCAAAUUUCUGUUUGCGAAAAUCUAUAGCCAUUUAGCUGCCGAAUCCCGUGGCCGCUAUUAUCUUUGGUUAAAUAUGAAAUAUAACAGGAGAGGAGAGAAUCGCUGUGAAGAAUAACGAAAUGAUUAAUUCCUCUUGAGCGAUUCCUUUCAAGCAAUGCCCGCUUACCCAUGGUGCACCCGGGUGACACGAUACGCGCGACAGGGAGGAGGAGAUCGGAUGGCAGGUGACGGCUGGAAUCAUUUUUAAGCGAUCUAAUUCUUUCACGUUUUCCUUUUCGAGCGAACAAUGAUUUAUCGCGUCGUAAAUUUUUCAAGAGGAUUUCAUACAAAAGAGAAGUUGGCGAAUCAGAAAGAAUAGGAGGAAAGAAGGAUAGAGUGGAGAUAAAGAAAGAAAAAUAGAAACUGAAACGAGAGACGGCGCAGGUUGUAGGGAACGGCGGGCGGGUGAGAGGCGUGCCGCGAGAAAUGUAGAGCAGAAAAUGAAAGCCGUCGAUGUGGAAACUAGAAAAAAAAAAAAAAAAGAUGUAGAUAAAUGAACGAAUAGAUAAAUGGACGUGGAUCGGCAACCAGAUAAGCAGAUGAACAACCGGAUAAACCCUUCUAUUUUUCGUUCGUCUCGAUAACGAAAAAUAUAUAGAGACAGAUACGAAACAGGGAUGUAAAGAAUAGUAGCGAGAGAAUGAGGAAGAAAUUGUCGAGAGGAGAGUACUGCUAAUAUCCUGGGGGCGGUCGUGGGAUAGGGUGCACCUGCGCGUAUGACAGAUACGCCCCUGGCAUAAAGGCGACAUUUAGGUCACCGGCUUUUACCGCGGCAGACUACACAUGCAGAGACCGGCCUUGCCAAUGAUCGUUUUCACUACUAACACCAACGUUCCAAAGAAUUUUCAGACUCCGCAUUAUCCGUUACCGUUGGAAAAUUAAUCCUUCUGCAGAAGCGUGCGCCUAAUUUUCCUCGAACCAUCGUCCUUGUACAUCUCUCUACCUUCGUUAAAAAAAACUAAUGCUCGAACAACGUAAGAAGAAUAUCACGAAGGGUAAAUAAGAAGAAAUUGUAACGCCAAUCGAUUGCAUCUAACUAAUGUGCACUGAUGCACAUAUAAUGUAUAGCACUUUGAGCAGAGUAAACGGUGGAUGGAAAACUCCCAUCCAUCAGAAUGCAUGCAUAUAGCUUGGUCGUUCUACGUAUUUAACGAUUGAAUGCCAUAGUUUAAUUAUGAAGCACUUUACCAUGGAAUAAAUCACAAAAGGAUAAAUCUUAUAAAGAUCGUUCAUCGAUGCUCCUCUUCUUGGCAGGCUGAAUAAUGUAUCGCAACGAGAGGGUAUUACAAUUGAUGGAAUCAAGUGCAUCGAGAUGACCUAAAAAAAUUCAUUCUUAUCACCGACGUCAGUGGAUACAGUUUCGAAACUUUUCCCUUUGCCACCGGCUGUUUAAUUAUUAUGUACCUUUAUGUUAUGCAAAUACCCAUUGUUCGUUUGCUUUUCCAGAAACGAAAGUUCUCGCCGAGGUUGAGUUGUGACCCGCUCGAUCCAGCGGUUUGCACCCCUUUAACAUUGUCACAACUAUUCUGUCAUCGAGGGAUGAGUUUACCAAGCGACAAUAAUUUGACAACCGUGCACCGAGAAGCGACGCGUAGCACAUAACAAGGGGAAAAUUAUCGUCCUGACGCCAAUUUCGAUCCUGACAAGGCACCGCCAGCGACGCCAGUGUACUUCGGUUCCCUAAGCCGAAGACACUUCCGCAAGGAUAUCGGCGAUUCCUUCGCUCUCAAACGAACAAGUUGAAUCUUUGAAAAUUUCACUGCUUUAUUUUGGGAAUCCAAGGAGGACCUAAAGGAACCGAAGAAAGUCCAUCCUGGGCAUCGUUUAAUGUUGAACACACAGCACGAUACAGGAAACUGUCUCGACGGGAAUACGAAACAGGUAAUCGACCGAUAUAUAGUAUUAUUGAUUAUCCGUCUAUCGCGCGGCGAAGCGAAUUUCGAUAUCUGAAAUGUCUCUCUGGCGUGCAUUGAAAAAUGAACUCGGUCCAAGGGAUGAGAACAGUUCGAGGUGCGUAAACAAAAUACAGCAAUGGCCAUUUUGAUAUUAAUUCUUAAAAGAACUCUAUGAUAAAUUGAAAUCAUCGCAAUAUUAUCGAACGCAAGUUGAACCUUGCCGCGAUUUUACUUAAAUGUAAAUACAGAACAGUGAGUGUUGCAACGUCAAACGUAGACUUGAUUGAACGUACACGUCAAAAAGAAGUUGUAAUCACCGAGGCUUUGCGAAUAUUCAAAGCGUCAAACGACCGAAAUAUUUUCCCCGAAGAGGAAAUAUUCCGUGGAAAGUUGAAUACGACGCGGUACCGCGGGAAAGGCGUACACGCAGCCGGUGUUUAACAAGGGUAGAGGGAGGCAUAUCGGAAAAUGUCGACACGAUAGAAAAGAGAGUAUCGCGGAUAAUGGGGUGGGUGUGUAUCAGUCUUUGCGAUAAGUUAUUGCUGAAUCAGUCGUUGUUCCAUAGCGGAAGCAAUCCCGCCAAAAUAAAGGCAAAAGCAUCGUCUGCAAAGUUUUGCUAGAGUGUCGAGUUACAAUUUUUCUUCUCCUAUCUUUUUUUAUAUAUAUUGCUUUCUAUAUCUGCUAAAAAAAUAGCGAGUAAUUUCAAUCGGUCGAAACGAACUCUUCUUUUCCCAUAUUUUUCAUUUUGUUUUAUUACUUUCUAAACGCACCAUUGAAAUGCGAAUAAAUAUCGGAAUUCUCGUCGUCGCCAAAUCCUCGAUAUUUUGCUUCGACUGUGAUCGGUUACGAUCGUAUAUUAAAAAUAAAAAAUAAAAUAAAAGGAAGGGGAAAAAGCGCUCCUACGGGAAUCGUCUCGCGGAUGAAAGGCUGGUAGUGAAUAAAAAAUCAGGCAGGAAUUCGAAUGACGAAUCGCGGUGGCGAUCCAUUAUAAAUAAAGAGCGAGGCAAACAAAAACCACCGAUGUAUGUGUGCAUGUUUUUUUUCGCCGUCCCUCUAUAGAUAGAUUAACAAAUUAACGAACGUUCGAAAAAAGCGAGGCAAAGCAGGUCACUUUCAAUCAACAGCGUCCGCUACCCGUCUCAUUCUCUUUCCCCUUUCUUUUUGUUUCGAACGCCAGAAACAAGUGUGCCGUUCGUUUUUCCAAUUUGCCAUAAAUUCUGAAAAAAAGGUUCGACCAUCGGAGGAGGAGGAGCGGGGAAGACGGGACAGAAUUACCCAGUCUUUUUUUGUCAAUGCGUUCGUACGGUAUUAUUCAGGACCCUUUGUAAAAGGGCCAGCCGAAUCGCAAUGAUAAAUUCGAAGCGUAACGCGAAUAAUCGUCCAUACGAACAAAAAGCGCGUCCAGGACAAAAGAGCGCGAAACUCGAAGGGUUGGGGGGUGGAAAAAUAAUCGCGAUAGCUCCUCCUCCAUCGGUUCCGGGACGUUUAAUUCGCGGCGAGGAUAGAGCUGGAGGGGCAGGGGAAAAACGAGAAAGCGAGGCCGGACCGAAUUAAUGCGAAAAUUUAAUGCAGCUGUCACGUGUCCGGCCAUUACUAAAUCUACCUGUAACGUCAUUAAAUCGGCGCUACCUGAAUGUACACGCGUUUUGUUUCCACCUACGCCGAGCGUAUUGCAACGCGCCACCCGUUUCACACUCGCUAAUUGUAAUAAUUUUCUCGCUCCCAAGCGUAACGUAGAAGUCUAAAGUAUCGUAGACGAAAUUUCAGGUAUUGUACAGCUCGUUUCAAGGCUAUGAACAGCGACUAAAUCG